rnacentral:lncRNA from 1 species
AUGUUGAUUUACUCUGCUAAACAUAACUGUUCCUGAUUCUCAAAUGCUGGGCACCACACAUAACCGUAUUUUUGACAACUGGGAGAACUGGGUUUUCACUAGAACCGACAAUCACGUAAGGCGUUGCACGACACUGCAAUGGCUAUGAUCAUUCCACAGCUAUGACAUCAUGAGCACUUUAUACUCCAGUACAAUCUUAUGGGAGGACUGGCACACCAGGUUCAUUAUGGAGCAAAAUGUGAUAUGGCCCAUGACUCUGCCUCCUUGCAAACAAGUACAGCCUAACAAAUGCUCUUUAUUGCGUUAUUUACUCAAGCACAAGGAUGGAAAGCCACCAGACCUAGGACUGACCACUGCUUUCCAGAGAUACACUAAGGAGAAAUACCACAGCCUCCAAAGGAGGAGGGAGACAUGGCUGCCACACAAUGCUAACCGUAAAAGCCACAGCAGAAACAAUAAACAGUUGAGCCUCGUG